UACGUAGGGUGCAAGCGUUGUUCGGAAUCAUUGGGCGUAAAGCGCGCGUAGGCGGCUAAUUAAGUCGGGUGUGAAAUCCCUGGGCUCAACCGAGGAAGUGCAUCCGAAACUAAUUGGCUGGAAGAUGGUAGAGGGAGAUGGAAUUCCUAGUGUAGAGGUGAAAUUCGUAGAUAUUAGGAGGAAUACCAGUGGCGAAGGCGGUCUCCUGGGCCACUCUUGACGCUGAGGCGCGAGAGCGUGGGUAGCAAACAGG
rnacentral:rRNA from 1 species